rnacentral:lncRNA from 1 species
AGUGUUUCGGUGCAACGUGUUCGGUGCCGUUUCCCGUCCGUCCGACAUUCGUGGUUUUCGAAAAAACCUCGGCUGUGCGCGCGCGUUGUAUUUUUUUUCAUUUUUUUCUGCUCGCCGGACAAUCACGGCGCGAUAUUCUACAGCAGUCAGUACCUACCGUUACGUAUUACCGAACCAAUUAUUGUAUCCGCAGAUAAAAAAACGCAAUACCGGUCCGUGAAAAGCGUAAGCGCUAUAUAUACAUUAUAGUUUUUCAAUUUCGUUAUUAUUAUUAUUUAUUUAUUUUUUUUUUUUUUUACUGGAAUUUACAAUAUCGUGAAAUCAAUCGAAAUACAAUAAUAACGAUAGUAAUAAUAAUAUUGUUUGUGACCGUGGUUCACCGUGACACUCGCAGAAUGGAUUACGAAACAUACCCGAGGAUAAUUGAUAACUAAUUAUUAUCCGACACGACACAUCACGAUAUCUUAGAGGUAUGCGAAUACGAAUAUGAUUUAUAAUUAAGUGUACC